rnacentral:rRNA from 1 species
AUUGAACGCUGGCGGCAUGCCUUACACAUGCAAGUCGAACGGCAGCGGACCUUCGGGUGCCGGCGAGUGGCGAACGGGUGAGUAAUAUAUCGGAACGUACCUUUCAGUGGGGGAUAACGUAGCGAAAGUUACGCUAAUACCGCAUAUUCUGUGAGCAGGAAAGCAGGGGAUCGCAAGACCUUGCGCUGAUUGAGCGGCCGAUAUCAGAUUAGCUAGUUGGUGAGGUAAAGGCUCACCAAGGCGACGAUCUGUAGCGGGUCUGAGAGGAUGAUCCGCCACACUGGAACUGAGACACGGUCCAGACUCCUACGGGAGGCAGCAGUGGGGAAUUUUGGACAAUGGGCGCAAGCCUGAUCCAGCCAUGCCGCGUGAGUGAAGAAGGCCUGGU